UACGGAGGGGGCUAGCGUUGUUCGGAAUUACAGGGCGUAAAGCGCACGUAGGCGGCGCCGUAAGUCAGGGGUGAAAUCCCGGAGCUCAACUCCGGAACUGCCUUUGAAACUGCGGUGCUAGAAUCCUGGAGAGGCGAGUGGAAUUCCGAGUGUAGAGGUGAAAUUCGUAGAUAUUCGGAAGAACACCAGUGGCGAAGGCGACUCGCUGGACAGGUAUUGACGCUGAGGUGCGAAAGCGUGGGGAGCAAACAGG
rnacentral:rRNA from 1 species